GUUCUGGGUGCCUGGCAUACAAGACAGAAGCUUUCCUUACAAUGCUGCCUUGUGUACACUAAACAGGGGUGUUGCGUCUGCAGGUCUGUAUACCACAUGUAUCACACCACCCGAUGCAAGAAGAGGGGAAGAGGGUGUCCAAUCCCCUGAGGAUGACCUGAUAGACAGCUGUAAGCCACCACACGCGGGUAAUGGAGAUCAAAUCUGCGUCCUGUGGAGGAGCAGCUGUGUGAUCAGACUUAUCACAGAAAGAUUAUUAUGGGGGCCAUGAGUGCAAAUAUGUUAAGCCUCAUUCCUGGAUUCCUCUACGUCUUCCUGCUUUGUGAUCAAGGAUGACUGCUGUGGCUCCGAAUGUCAUGCCCGUGCUUAAGGAAGAAGGAAGUGGAAAGAAGAAAGGAUUGCACCACCUGUCUUUGUGCCAAGACAGAAACCUUUCCUCAAAUGCCUUUUCUAGCACCUCAUGAAUUAAGAUAAUGUCCUUAUCAAACUCUAGUUGGCCAUUGAGCAGUUGAACACAGUAAUGAAGUUGGCAUGAGUUUGGGGUGUACAGAGCCCACAGUGCAGUGUAGAGAGAAGUACAAUCUCUAUUGGGAUUACUGACGCUGCCUGUUAAGAAAUAAGAGUGUUACAACAUUCCAGAUGAACUGAGACUACAUCUAUCAAGUCACUGAGUCUCUUAAUUACUGUUCUAUUGCUGUGAAGAGAUACCAUGACUUAGGCAACUCUUAUCAAAGAGAGCAGUUAAUUGGGUACUUGCUUAUAGUUUUAGAGGGUUAGUCUAUGAUCUUCACAGCAGGGAGCAUGGCAGCAUACCUGGUGCUGGAGCAGU